rnacentral:tRNA from 1 species
GGGACGUUAGCUCAGUCGGUAGAGCACGUGACUUUUAAUCACGGGGUCCUGGGUUCAAUCCCCAGACGUCCUACCA